GAGAGAGAGAGAGAGAGAGAGAGAGAGAGAGAGAGAGAGAGAGAGACUAGUAAAGAGAAAAGGGAAGAAGGGAAGGUAAGCUAUAGGGAAGAGAGAGAUGGAGGAAAGGGAGAGAAAGGAAGGAAGAAACAAAGGAUACAGAGAGGUACACACACACACACACACACACACACACACACAUCAAAAUCAAACCAGCCUCUAAAAAAGCACACAAUCAUUUAUUUUUAUUAAACAUGUGGAGUGAUCAUAAAACAUUGAGUCUCCAAGAAAUGAUGACACUCACGUUAAUACCAAGAGUGUAUGUUAUGCCGGUAACGAUGAUCAAAACUACAUAUCAUAGGGAAACGUGUUUAAACCUACUGCUUGGCCGAACGGGGGUGUCCGCCCAACACUGUGGGAGGAAGAGGGAGAGAGAGAGGGGGAGGGAGUGUGAGGGUGAGUGAGUGAGUGUGAGGGUGAGUGAGUGAGUGAGUGAGUGUCUGUGUGAUGAGAUAUGAGUUAAGAGAGAGGUGGAGAAGAGAAGUGAAAGUGCGUGUGUGUGAGGGUGAGUGAGUGUGUGUGAGUGUGAGUGUGUGUGAGUGAGGGUGAGUGUGUGUGAGUGAGUGAGUGAGUGUCUGUGUGAUGAGAUAUGAGUUAAGAGAGAGGUGGUAAAGGGAAGGGAAAGUGCGUGUGUGUCUGUGAGAGAGAGAGACAAGAUGCAAGAGAGGUAAGGAGGAAGCUAUGGAAAAUGAAGUGUGUAUGAGUGAAGAGAAUGAAGAAGGGAUGGAAUAUGAAGGGGAGGAAGAAUUGAUUAUGGAUGAAUGAGGGAAUGAAGAUGGAUGAGGAGACAAAAGGAGUGAAUAAGGAGAGGAGGAGGAAAAGGAAACAAGAGAGAAAGAAUGGGAACGUAAGAGACAAAUUUAGAGAGGAUGGAGGUGGGAAGAGGCAAGGAUGGAGGAGGAGGAGAUGAGAACAGAGGUAAGAGGGGGUGGGAGGAGAUGUUGAGGAUGGAGGUAAAGGAUAGGAGGUGAGGAGAUGAGAACAGAGGGAGGAGGGGGUGGGAGGAGAUGUUGAGGAUGGAGGUAAAGGAUAGGAGGUGGAGGAGAUGAGAACAGGGGUGGGAGGAGGUGAUGAGGUUGGAGGUAAAGGAUAGGAGGUGGAGGAGAUGAGAAUAGAGGCAGGAGGGGGUGGGACCGUGGGAGGAGGUGAAAAACAGAGCAGGUGGUGAUGGUCCAAAGGGUAACCAAACACCUUCACCCCAAAUCACAGGUGUGGAGCCAGGUGUAUGCUUUACUAGGUGACCCGUCAGGUGUUUGGUGACGUCCCUUAAUGCCCCAGAAAAUACAACAAAAUUAAAACUCUGAAUACAAACCAGAAAAAAUCAACUUCACACAAUCAUUUUCAUCUUCUAUGUUAUGGUUUUACAAGAGGUUUAGUUAGUUUGUUUAAAGCUCUUAACAAUCGGGCAUUAGUCACCUCUUCUGCACUAGUAAAUAACCAAACAGGGGCACUUAGAGAAUAAUAAAGUAGAGACUAAUAAGUGGAUAAAUAAAAAUAAUACAGAAAUGCCUCUAUCAAUGCAUAACACACAGGGCAGGUUUAAACAUUAGUGAAUACAGAAUAAAAUAAUAACUUCAACUUAUGUAGAAAACAGCCUCCAUAAUGACAAGAGGAGGAGGUGCGAGAUUACUUAAGGUCCACAGGCAGCCACAAACAGGUUCAAAACAAGGCAACUCUCCCUCCCUGUCUUCCUCUAUAGAUACAUGGGAGCAAGUUGUUAGUUUCCAUAGGUUAGGAGUUGCUUAUCACUGCUGUUCUUGUCUUCAUAUUGUGGCCACUUUUGGGCUGGGGGACUCAAGGAAAUGAAGGGAGACAAGAUGGAAGGAAGGGGAAGAGAGGAGAAAAAAAGGAUGGGGGACUCGAGGAAAUGAAGGGAAACAAGAUGGAAGGAAGGGGAAGAGAGGAGAAAAAAAGGAUGGGGGACUCGAGGAAAUGAAGGGAAACAGAAGAUGGAAGGAAGGGGAAGAAAAAGGGAAAUACGAGUAAAAAGGAAUGGACUAAAAGAGAGGGUGAGGAUAGGUGGAUUACAGAAAGUCAGAGUGGAUUGAGGGGGGAACAAGUAGACUAAAGAAGUGGUGGAUAGACUGAGAAAGGAUAGGUGGAUUAGGGUAGGGCAUGGUGGACAAAGUGGGGAGGAGGUGGACUAAAGGAUCGGUGGGUGGACUAAGGAAUGGAAAAAUUAAAGAGACAAAUAGGAGGAAAAGGAAGAUCAGGGAACACAUCUGGCAGGCCAUAUAAGGAGAUUCAUCAAGUACUUCCACCAAGGGAGCGGCAAAAAAUUAACCAAAAUAUAAAAAGUACAAACCAUACACGCCCUCCAAAUCACCCUCACACUGAAAUCAACAUAGGACACUCACACCCGACCAAGACACUGCGAACACGGCGCCAGUUGUCCCGGGGAUGCUGGGGGGUGUUACUGGCGGCUUGCGUCUGUUGUGAUAUGGCUCAGACACCCGACCAGUGCCUCCUCCCAGCAUCCCCGGCCUCAACUGUGUGCUGGCCAGACAGACAAAGACAGUGAAUGCAAAUAGACAGAAAAAAGAUGAAGGUAUGAAUGAAUAUGGCCCGAGAUGAAAGAUGGGAGAUGUUUAUGCGAAUGACCACAGACAACAGACUAAGAGAUGGAUGGAAAGGGCCACAGAAAGAUGAUGAUGCGUGAUAAUGGCCAGACAGACAGAAGAUGAAGGUGUCAAAAUGAAUGGCCACAGAAAAGAGACGAAGAUGUGAAUGGGAAUGGCCAGACAGACAGACGAAAUGUGAAUGCAAAUGUCCACAAACUAAGACGAAGGAUAUGAAUGCAAACAGAGAGACAAAGACCCGAAAAUGUGACUGGGACGUGAAUGCAAUGGUGACAGAGAGUAAGAGAGAUAUGAAUGCAAACUCAGAUGGAUGAAGUUCCGGUCAAGCUUUUAACAAGACAGCAAACAGAGACCGGAGCGUGAUGAUGAACGCCAGGAAUGUAAUAUGAGGCGAGGACAGAGCUGGUCAGGCCUAACGAGACGGUAAACAAACACGAGAACAUGAGACAAAAGACCUGAAUAUAUAAAAAAAAACAGACAGAAACAAUCACGUAACAAAAUCAUUGGUGAGUAACAAGGCGUUGGUCAUGAUGAGGAACUGUAGCAAAGACACACAUGAAUUAAGAUGAAAAAUGUAAAAAUAGGCCUAAGUUGAGACAUAGUACAGUAAACACACAUAGGUAAUCAUGAGGAACUGAACAGCAAUUGAAUAUAAAUCAAAAACAAGUUAAAUGAGAGGUACAAAAAUCAUACACAUUAGUCCUGACCACAGGCGCCCAUCUUUGGAAUGCCUCGUGAACUCGGAAAAUCAGCAAGUGACAGACAGACAGGGCAACAGGGCACUGAACACGCGGCCACCCCAACCAACCUCCUGCGGCUUGGGGGUGGCGAGGGUAGGGUAGGGGAAAGGCCUAGGAGCGACCCACACAGUGUUGCGCGACACGAGGCCAUGGAAACAUGAGUGCAUCGCUUCUUAACAACACAAGUUAGUGGAAUAUUGUAAAAAAAUGUAGUUUUUCAUUCUUAUCGUCUUUGACAUGUACACUUCAACACUUCAGGUGGAUGACUGGCAGCUGGUGAGCGCAGGAGCCCGGGCGUCGCAAGGAAGCCGCCGCCACUGGUGCCAUGGGUGAUGACACAUGGGGGCACCAGGUUGAUGAUGCUGCCGGCACUUCCUUGUUUGUCUGGCACUGAUGGAGCACGACGAGGCUCACAGGUAAUGUUCCAUUCUCCCAGGCACACUGACACUCACACUCACACACACGGAUGCCCAGUGAUAAGGCUUGUUCUGCGCUCACCAGUGGUUGUUGCAAAAUGUGAACUGGAUCACCACGAACGGUCUGGGUGAAUCGCAGCUGUUUAGGGGCACGGGAAGGGUGGUGGAGUGGGAGGGAGUGGGUCAUGGCAGCGGUGAUGGUGGUGGUGUUUGUGGCGGCGAUGGAAUGUGGUCCAGCAUCAGCGGGUUGAAAAACUAGCACAGGGCUUUCGUGGUAGUAAAAAAAAGUGAGAUAUUAAAAAACUGAGAUGUCUUUUUUUUGGAACAGGGAAGAGGCUGGGUACUGCUCCUCCUCCUCCUCCUGUUCUGCUAUGCCUGAUCUGUCCAGUGGCUGUCUGUGUUGUGUUGUGUGUGUGUUGCAAGGGGAAUGAGGGAAGGAGUGGCAGGUUGGGUAAUGCUCCUCCUCCUCCUCCUGUUCCACUGUGGCUGUCUGUGUUUGUGUUGCAAGGGGAAUGAGGGAAGGAGUGGCAGGCUGGGUAAUCCUCCUCCUGUUCCACUAUGCCUGAUCUGUCCUGUGGUUGUCUGUCAAUGUUUGUGUUGCAAGGGAAAUGAGGGCAGGGGUGGCGAUGAUUGUGGCUGUGGCUUCGGUGGGGCGGGGGACUAAAAAAUGGGCUGAAUAUAAAAUGUGUCUUCUCCAACCUGAGAGUUAAAAAGCCCUUCCUUCCCUAACCUGUUUAAUACAACCAUCAUCAUCAUCAUCAUCUGUGUGGGAAUAUAAAAUGUUGACUAUGAUCCUUGACUGACUUGAAUGAGUGGCUGAUAAACUGACUGACUGACUGGCUGACACACACACACACACAUACAUACACACACACGCCACACAAGGUUCAUCCGUCACCGUUCACAAAAAACAAAGCGGUGUGUGUUUGUUUGUUUGUUAAGAUCCUCACCGCUCGCUCAACCAACAGACUGACUGACAACCACUUGCGUCAACCCACAACAACA